rnacentral:rRNA from 1 species
AUUGAACGCUGGCGGCAUGCUCUACACAUGCAAGUCGAACGGUAACAGGCUGCAAGGUGCUGACGAGUGGCGAACGGGGGAGUAAUGCAUCGGAACGUGCCCAGUCGUGGGGGAUAACUACUCGUAAGAGUAGCUAAUACCGCAUACGAUCUAAGGAGAAAAGCGGGGGACCGCAAGGCAUCGCGCGAUCGGAGCGGCCGAUGUCAGAUUAGGUAGGUGGUGGGGUAAAGGCUCACCAAGCCCACGAUCUGUAGCUGGUCUGAGAGGACGACCAGCCACACUGGAACUGAGACACGGCCCAGACUCCUACGGGAGGCAGCAGUGGGGAAUUUUGGACAAUGGGCGCAAGCCUGAUCCAGCAAUGCCGCGUGCAGGAAGAAGGCCUUCGGGUUGUAAACUGCUUUUGUACGGAACGAAACGGCUCUGGUUAAUACCCGGGGCUAAUGACGGUACCGUAAGAAUAAGCACCGGCUAACUACGUG